GUGGGGAAUAUUGCACAAUGGGGGAAACCCUGAUGCAGCAACGCCGCGUGAGUGAUGACGGCCUUCGGGUUGUAAAGCUCUGUCUUCAGGGACGAUAAUGACGGUACCUGAGGAGGAAGCCACGGCUAACUACGUGCCAGCAGCCGCGGUAAUACGUAGGUGGCGAGCGUUGUCCGGAUUUACUGGGCGUAAAGGGAGCGUAGGCGGACUUUUAAGUGAGAUGUGAAAUACCCGGGCUCAACUUGGGUGCUGCAUUUCAAACUGGAAGUCUAGAGUGCAGGAGAGGAGAAUGGAAUUCCUAGUGUAGCGGUGAAAUGCGUAGAGAUUAGGAAGAACACCAGUGGCGAAGGCGAUUCUCUGGACUGUAACUGACGCUGAGGCUCGAAAGCGUGGGGAGCAAACAGGA
rnacentral:rRNA from 1 species